rnacentral:rRNA from 1 species
CACGUAGGGGGCAAGCGUUGUUCGGAAUUACUGGGCGUAAAGGGCAUGUAGGCGGCUCUGUAAGUCCGGCGUGGAAGCCCAUGGCUCAACCAUGGGAUUGCGUUGGAAACUGUUGGGCUUGAAUCAUGGAGAGGGAGCUAGAAUUCCUGGUGUAGGGGUGAAAUCUGUAGAGAUCAGGAAGAAUACCAGUGGCGAAGGCGAGCUCCUGGCCAAUGAUUGACGCUGAGGUGCGAAAGUGUGGGGAUCAAACAGG